rnacentral:rRNA from 1 species
UGUUUGAUCCUAGGCUCAGGACGAACGCUGGCGGCGCGCCUCAUGCAUGCAAGUCGAGCGACGCACUCCUUAGCCCGUAAGGGCGAGUUUGACGGUACGGCGAACGGUCGCGUAACACGUGACUAAUCUACCCCGAAGACCGGCAUAGCCCGGGGAAACCCGGAUUAAUACCGGAUGAUCUCACCGCGGCUCAUGUGGCGUGGAGCACAGCUCCAGGCGCUCCGGGAUGAGGUCGCGGACCAUCAGCUGGUUGGUGAGGCAACGCCUCACCAGGGCAACGACGGGUAGCUAGGCUGAGAGGACGAUCAGCCACACUGGAACUGAGAUACGGUCCAGACUCCUACGGGAGGCAGCAGCAGGUAAUCUUGCGCAAUGGGCGAAAGCCUGACGCAGCGACGCCGCGUGGGGGAUGAAGGCCUUAGGGUUGUAAACCCCUUUCACGAGAGAAGAAAAUGACUGUACCUCGAGAAGAAGCCCCGGCUAACUACGUGCCAGCAGCCGCAGUAAUACGUAGGGAGCGAGCGUUGUCCGGAUUUAUUACGCGUAAAGAGCUCGUAGGCGGCUUGACAAGUCGGCCGAUGAAACUCAGGGCUCGACCCUGGGACGCAGGUCGAUACUGUCAUGACUAGUGUCUGGUAGAGGGGAAUGGAUUACCAGUGUAGCGGUCGAAUGCGCAGAUAUCGGGAGAACACCAUUAGCGAAGCAAGUACCUAGGGCCGCACUGACGCUGAUGAGCGAACGCGGGUGAGCAACAAGAUUAGAUACCUGUAGUC